CCUACGGGUGGCUGCAGUGGGGAAUAUUGGACAAUGGGGGGAACCCUGAUCCAGCCAUGCCGCGUGUGUGAAGAAGGCCCUCGGGUUGUAAAGCACUUUCAGUGAGGAAGAACGCCUGGUGGUUAAUACCCAUCAGGAAAGACAUCACUCACAGAAGAAGCACCGGCUAACUCCGUGCCAGCAGCCGCGGUAAUACGGAGGGUGCGAGCGUUAAUCGGAAUUACUGGGCGUAAAGCGCGCGUAGGUGGCUUGAUAAGCCGGUUGUGAAAGCCCCGGGCUCAACCUGGGAACGGCAUCCGGAACUGUCAAGCUAGAGUGCAGGAGAGGAAGGUAGAAGUCCCGGUGUAGCGGUGAAAUGCGUAGAGAUCGGGAGGAAUACCAGUGGCGAAGGCGGCCUUCUGGACUGACACUGACACUGAGGUGCGAAAGCGUGGGUAGCAAACAGGAUUAGAUACCCUAGUAGUC
rnacentral:rRNA from 1 species